rnacentral:rRNA from 1 species
GUGCCAGCCGCCGCGGUAACACGUAGGAUCCGAGCGUUAUCCGAAUUCACUGGGCGUAAAGAGCUGGUAGGCGGUUGGAUAAGUUGGAUGUGAAAUCUCCUGGCUCAACUGGGAGAGGCCGUUCAAGACUAUCCUGACUAGAGGGCGAUAGAGGUAGGCGGAAUUCCCGGUGUAGUGGUGAAAUGCGUAGAUAUCGGGAGGAACACCAGAGGCGAAGGCGGCCUGCUGGGUCGCACCUGACGCUCAGAAGCGAAAGCUAGGGGAGCGAACGGGAUUAGAAACCCCUGUAGUCC